rnacentral:rRNA from 1 species
AGAGUUUGAUCCUGGCUCAGGAUGAACGCUAGCUACAGGCUUAACACAUGCAAGUCGAGGGGCAUCAGUUUGGUUGCUUGCAAACCAAAGCUGGCGACCGGCGCACGGGUGAGUAACACGUAUCCAACCUNCCUCAUACUCGGGGAUAGCCUUUCGAAAGAAAGAUUAAUAUCCGAUAGCAUAUAUUUCCCGCAUGGGUUUUAUAUUAAAGAAAUUCGGUAUGAGAUGGGGAUGCGUUCCAUUAGUUUGUUGGCGGGGUAACGGCCCACCAAGGCAACGAUCAGUAGGGGUUCUGAGAGGAAGGUCCCCCACAUUGGAACUGAGACACGGUCCAAACUCCUACGGGAGGCAGCA